rnacentral:tRNA from 1 species
UGUCAAGGGAUGGGAAUCGAACCCACGGGCAGAUGCCAUGACCACUAGGCUACCCUGGAC